GACGAACGCUGGCGGCGUGCCUAACACAUGCAAGUCGAGCGAAUGAAGUUCCUUCGGGAACGGAUUUAGCGGCGGACGGGUGAGUAACACGUGGGCAACCUGCCCCAUAGAGGGGAAUAGCCUUCCGAAAGGGAGAUUAAUACCGCAUAAGAUUGUAGUACCGCAUGGUACAGCAAUUAAAGGAGCAAUCCGCUAUGAGAUGGGCCCGCGGCGCAUUAGCUAGUUGGUGAGGUAACGGCUCACCAAGGCGACGAUGCGUAGCCGACCUGAGAGGGUGAUCGGCCACAUUGGGACUGAGACACGGCCCAGACUCCUACGGGAGGCAGCAGUGGGGAAUAUUGCACAAUGGGGGGAACCCUGAUGCAGCAACGCCGCGUGAGUGAUGACGGCCUUCGGGUUGUAAAGCUCUGUCUUCAGGGACGAUAAUGACGGUACCUGAGGAGGAAGCCACGGCUAACUACGUGCCAGCAGCCGCAGUAAAAC
rnacentral:rRNA from 1 species